GAUGAAGAACGUAGCGAAAUGCGAUAAGUAAUGUGAAUUGCAGAAUUCAGUGAAUCAUCGAAUCUUUGAACGCACAUUGCGCCCGCCAGUAUUCUGGCGGGCAUGCCUGUUCGAGCGUCAUUACAACCCUCAGGCCCCCGGGCCUGGCGUUGGGGAUCGGCGGAAGCCCCCUGCGGGCACAACGCCGUCCCCCAAAUACAGUGGCGGUCCCGCCGCAGCUUCCAUUGCGUAGUAGCUAACACCUCGCAACUGGAGAGCGGCGCGGCCACGCCGUAAAACACCCAACUUCUGAAUGUUGACCUCGAAUAAGGUAGGAAUACCCGCUGAACUUAAGCAUAUCAAUAAGCGGAGGA
rnacentral:misc_RNA from 1 species